rnacentral:lncRNA from 1 species
GUAGAACCUUAGCAGAGAGAUUACAUGAACACAAGAAAGACAUUGAAAAAGCCAAUGUUAGCACAGCACUGGCCAUGGAACUAUAUGCGAAAGACGUACGAAUCCACUGGGACAAAACGAAAAUAAUAAGAUCAAUACAAAAUAAGUCGCAGGCCAUGAUGACAGAAGCCUUGGAGAUAUUGAAAGCAAAAAAGAGAAUUAAUAUCCUUAAUGAAGGCACGGCAAUAGAAGUGCCGCCAGCAUGGCUAUAUCUCCUCGAUACCCAAAAAAGUGAAUCCAACCCGGCCGCCUAAAGUUAUUAUUGUGGACUUUGGCACGUACUUAAAAGAGGGAUAACCCUCCCUUAAGA